rnacentral:rRNA from 1 species
CAGGCCUAACACAUGCAAGUCGAGCGGAAACGAGUUAUCUGAACCUUCGGGGAACGAUAACGGCGUCGAGCGGCGGACGGGUGAGUAAUGCCUAGGAAAUUGCCUUGAUGUGGGGGAUAACCAUUGGAAACGAUGGCUAAUACCGCAUAACGCCUACGGGCCAAAGAGGGGGACCUUCGGGCCUCUCGCGUCAAGAUAUGCCUAGGUGGGAUUAGCUAGUUGGUGAGGUAAUGGCUCACCAAGGCGACGAUCCCUAGCUGGUCUGAGAGGAUGAUCAGCCACACUGGAACUGAGACACGGUCCAGACUCCUACGGGAGGCAGCAGUGGGGAAUAUUGCACAAUGGGCGCAAGCCUGAUGCAGCCAUGCCGCGUGUAUGAAGAAGGCCUUCGGGUUGUAAAGUACUUUCAGCAGUGAGGAAGGGGGUGUCGUUAAUAGCGGCAUCUCUUGACGUUAGCUGCAGAAGAAGCACCGGCUAACUCCGUCGCCAGCAGCCGCGGUAAUACGGAGGGUGCGAGCGUUAAUCGGA